CCAGAGAUGGAUUGGUGCCUUCGGGAACUUAGAUACAGGUGCUGCAUGGCUGUCGUCAGCUCGUGUCGUGAGAUGUUGGGUUAAGUCCCGCAACGAGCGCAACCCUUUUCCUUAUUUGCCAGCGGGUCAUGCCGGGAACUUUAAGGAUACUGCCAGUGACAAACUGGAGGAAGGCGGGGACGACGUCAAGUCAUCAUGGCCCUUACGGCCAGGGCUACACACGUGCUACAAUGGUCGGUACAAAGGGUUGCUACCUCGCGAGAGGAUGCUAAUCUCAAAAAGCCGAUCGUAGUCCGGAUCGCAGUCUGCAACUCGACUGCGUGAAGUCGGAAUCGCUAGUAAUCGCGGAUCAGAAUGCCGCGGUGAAUACGUUCCCGGGCCUUGUACACACCGCCCGUCACACCAUGGGAGUUUGUUGCACCAGAAGUAGGUAGUCUAACCGCAAGGAGGACGCUUACCACGGUGUGGCCGAUGACUGGGGUGAAGUCGUAACAAGGUAAGCGUAGAUGA
rnacentral:rRNA from 1 species